rnacentral:rRNA from 1 species
GACGAGGGGUCCUAGCGUUGUUCGGAAUCACUGGGCGUAAAGCGUUUGUAGGCGGCUCUAUAAGUCGGGUGUGAAAUCCCACGGCUCAACCGUGGAAGUGCAUUCGAAACUGCAGAGCUUGAAUAUGGUAGAGGAGAGUAGAAUUCCUGGUGUAGUGGUGAAAUACGUAGAUAUCAGGAGGAAUACCGGUGGCGAAGGCGGCUCUCUGGACCAAUAUUGACGCUGAGAAACGAAAGUGCGGGGAUCAAACAGG